AAGUGGCUCAGCGGUAGAGCAUCGCCUUGCCAAGGCGAGGGUCGCGGGUUCGAUUCCCGUCUU
rnacentral:tRNA from 1 species